rnacentral:rRNA from 1 species
CAGCAGCCGCCACGGGAAUACAGAGGGUGCGAGCGUUAAUCGGAUUUACUGGGCGUAAAGCGUGCGUAGGCGGCUUUUUAAGUCGGAUGUGAAAUCCCUGAGCUUAACUUAGGAAUUGCAUUCGAUACUGGGAAGCUAGAGUAUGGGAGAGGAUGGUAGAAUUCCAGGUGUAGCGGUGAAAUGCGUAGAGAUCUGGAGGAAUACCGAUGGCGAAGGCAGCCAUCUGGCCUAAUACUGACGCUGAGGUACGAAAGCAUGGGGAGCAAACAGGAUUAGAUACCCCAGUAGUCCCUGUCUCUUAUAC